rnacentral:rRNA from 1 species
AUUGAACGCUGGCGGCAGGCUUAACACAUGCAAGUCGAGCGAGCGGCGGACGUGUGAGUACUGUCUGGGAAACUGCCUGAUGGAGGGGGAUAACUACUGGAAACGGUCGCUAAUACCACAUACCAUCAGAUGUGCCCCGAUGGCAUUAGCUUGUAGGUGGGGUAAUGGCUCACCUAGGCGACGAUCCCUAGCUGGUCUGAGAGGAUGACCAGCCACACUGGAACUGAGAAACGGUCCAGACUCCUACGGGAGGCAGCAGUGGGGAAUAUUGCACAAUGGGCGCAAGCCUGAUGCAGCCAUGCCGCGUGUGUGAAGAAGGCCUUCGGGUUGUAAAGCACUUUCAGCGAGGAGGCGGUAGUCGAAGAAGAAGCACCGGCUAACUCCGUGCCAGCAGACGCGGUAAGAG